UACGUAGGGUGCGAGCGUUGUCCGGAAUUAUUGGGCGUAAAGGGCUCGUAGGCGGUUUGUCGCGUCGGGAGUGAAAACCUUGGGCUUAACUCAGGGCUUGCUUUCGAUACGGGCAGACUAGAGGUAUGCAGGGGAGAACGGAAUUCCUGGUGUAGCGGUGAAAUGCGCAGAUAUCAGGAGGAACACCGGUGGCGAAGGCGGUUCUCUGGGCAUGAUCUGACGCUGAGGAGCGAAAGUGUGGGGAGCAAACAGG
rnacentral:rRNA from 1 species